rnacentral:rRNA from 1 species
ACGCACGCUGGCGGCGUGCUUAACCCCUGCAAGUCGCACGGAAAGGCCCUGCUUUUGUGGGGUGCUCGAGUGGCGAACGGGUGAGUAACACGUGAGUAACCUGCCCUUGACUUUGGGAUAACUUCAGGAAACUGGGGCUAAUACCGGAUAGGAGCUCCUGCUGCAUGGUGGGGGUUGGAAAGUUUCGGCGGUUGGGGAUGGACUCGCGGCUUAUCAGCUUGUUGGUGGGGUAGUGGCUUACCAAGGCUUUGACGGGUAGCCGGCCUGAGAGGGUGACCGGCCACAUUGGGACUGAGAUACGGCCCAGACUCCUACGGGAGGCAGCAGUGGGGAAUAUUGCACAAUGGGCGGAAGCCUGAUGCAGCAACGCCGCGUGCGGGAUGACGGCCUUCGGGUUGUAAACCGCUUUCGCCUGUGACGAAGCGUGAGUGACGGUAAUGGGUAAAGAAGCACCGGCUAACUACGU